AGAUUAAGUUAUUAAGGGCGCACGGUGGAUGCCUUGGCACUAGAAGCCGAUGAAGGACGUUACUAACGACGAUAUGCUUUGGGGAGCUGUAAGUAAGCUUUGAUCCAGAGAUUUCCGAAUGGGGAAACCCAGCAUGAGUUAUGUCAUGUUAUCGAUAUGUGAAUACAUAGCAUAUCAGAAGGCACACCCGGAGAACUGAAACAUCUUAGUACCCGGAGGAAGAGAAAGAAAAUUCGAUUCCCUUAGUAGCGGCGAGCGAAACGGGAAGAGCCCAAACCAACAAGCUUGCUUGUUGGGGUUGUAGGACACUCUAUACGGAGUUACAAAGGACGACAUUAGACGAAUCAUCUGGAAAGAUGAAUCAAAGAAGGUAAUAAUCCUGUAGUCGAAAAUGUUGUCUCUCUUGAGUGGAUCCUGAGUACGACGGAGCACGUGAAAUUCCGUCGGAAUCUGGGAGGACCAUCUCCUAAGGCUAAAUACUCUCUAGUGACCGAUAGUGAACCAGUACCGUGAGGGAAAGGUGAAAAGCACCCCGGAAGGGGAGUGAAAUAGAACCUGAAACCGUGUGCUUACAAGUAGUCAGAGCCCGUUAAUGGGUGAUGGCGUGCCUUUUGUAGAAUGAACCGGCGAGUUACGAUUUGAUGCAAGGUUAAGCAGUAAAUGUGGAGCCGUAGCGAAAGCGAGUCUGAAUAGGGCGUUUAGUAUUUGGUCGUAGACCCGAAACCAGGUGAUCUACCCUUGGUCAGGUUGAAGUUCAGGUAACACUGAAUGGAGGACCGAACCGACUUACGUUGAAAAGUGAGCGGAUGAACUGAGGGUAGCCCUAAAGCUAUUUCGGAGAGAACCAGCUAUCUCCAGGUUCGAUUGGAAUUUCUCCGCUACCCUCAGUUCAUCCGCUCACUUUUCAACGUAAGUCGGUUCUCUCCGAAAUAGCUUUAGGGCUAGCCUCAAGUGAUGAUUAUUGGAGGUAGAGCACUGUUUGGACGAGGGGCCCCUCUCGGGUUACCGAAUUCAGACAAACUCCGAAUGCCAAUUAAUUUAACUUGGGAGUCAGAACAUGGGUGAUAAGGUCCGUGUUCGAAAGGGAAACAGCCCAGACCACCAGCUAAGGUCCCAAAAUAUAUGUUAAGUGGAAAAG
rnacentral:rRNA from 1 species